CGGAGCCAAGGGGGGGGCAGUGGGGUCACUGGACCCCCCUGGAAUUUGGCAAUUUUCGCAGGGGUAUUUUAGUAAUUUCAAAUAUAGUGCUAAAAAAAAUAAAAAAUAAUAAUUCUAGGGCUCAAUUUUGCAUCUGUCGACGACUCAACCUAACCUCAGAAUUUUUUCCAUUUCAAUUGGGCGCCGCUGCUCUUUCCGCUGUGAAUCGCCAUUCUCAAGCUGUGCCCCGCCGCUUUCCGGCUUCUCUACCAGCUACCGUUGUCGACGCCGUCACCGACUAUCUGCCUUCAGCUGUGCGCCGCUGACUGAUCUCCUGCUGCAAGCUGCGACUGUCUGCGGCAGCCGGCAGUGCGAGUUAAGUUAUCAUUGACUUUACCAGUUGCCACUGCUACCGUUGAAAGAGCCUUUUCAGCAAUAAAGAUCAUCAAGAGUGUUCUUCGCAAUCGUAUGGGAGACAAUCUUUUGAACGAUUGCUUAGUACCUUAUAUUGAAAAUGAUGUGUUUGUAAAUGUUACUAAUGAAGCUAUUAUGCAAAGGUUUCAGAGCAUGAAAAAUAGGAGAGAAAUGUUGUUAGUUGAGAAAUAAAUUAUUUUUUUACUUGUUAUGUAAUUUAAAUGACAUUAUAAUUAUGUUAAUGAUUAUUAUUUGUUUUUUAUUUAA